rnacentral:lncRNA from 1 species
CGUCCGUCGUCGUCGUCGUUAACUUUUUACAUUUUGAACUUCUUCUAGAGAACCACUGAAUGGAAUGAAACCAAACAUGGCAUGAAUGUUCCUUAUGAGGUGCUGACCAAGUGUUGUUACUUUGUAGCCAAUCCAUCAUCCAAGAUGGCCGCCAGCGGGGGACUUAGUUUAACAAAGGACCCUAUGGGAAAUGCAUACAAAUGACUUCUUUUAGAGAACUACUGAAUGGAAUGAAAUCAAACAUGGCAUGAAUGUUCCUAAUGUGGUGCUGACCAAGUGUUGUUACUUUGUAGCCGAUCUAUUAUCCAAGAUGGCCGCCAGCGGGGGACUUAGUUUAACAUAGGACCCCAUGGGAAAUGCAUACAAAUGACUUCUUUUAGAGAACCACUGAAUGGAAUAAAAC